AAGCCACUUGGCGACAAGGAGCGGAACCCGAAAACCUGUCUCAGUUCGGAUUGGAGUCUGCAACCCGACUCCAUGAAGCUGGAUUCGCUAGUAAUCGCGCAUCAGCCACGGCGCGGUGAAUACGUUCCCGGGCCUUGUACACACCGCCCGUCAAGCCAUGGAAGCCGGGAGUGCCUGAAGUGCGUGACCGCAAGGAACGCCCUAGGGUAAACCGGUGACUGGGGCUAAGUCGUAACAAGGUACC
rnacentral:rRNA from 1 species